rnacentral:misc_RNA from 1 species
AAAAUCAAUAAUCAAUUUCAUAAUCAACAACCAAAUGGAAGACAAAUAACAAAACACAAUAACCAAUCAUUAAAAAUUAUAACACAUGAAGAGUGCCAAGUGCAGAUACUGGUCACCAAAAGAGCACCAAAGCACAUGGUCUAAGGCCAUAGGCUUUGGGUGUUUGGUCGUCUAGCUCUUGGAAAUAACAAUCAUCGAUGGUCUAAAAGCGUGACGCUCUUAACACAGAUAAUAGGGUGGAUUUUAGAAAGAAGAGGAGA